rnacentral:pre_miRNA from 1 species
AAUAAAUCAACCUUUCAGUUUUAAGAUACAAUGUUUGACUCUUCUUCUUAUUUAAAAAAAGUUUACGAUUAAUAAUUUUAUUUUUAUUAGAUGAUAAAACAUGAAUAGUAUUUCAUGUGUGACUAUUUUUUAAAAAAUUGUUGAAUUUUUUUCAAAUAAGACGGAUGGUCAAACGCUCGACACAAAAAUC